rnacentral:rRNA from 1 species
UACGGAGGGGGCGAGCGUUAUUCGGAAUUAUUGGGCGUAAAGGGCGCGUAGGCGGUCGUGCAAGUGGAAGGUGAAAUCCCUCGGCUCAACCGAGGAACUGCCUUUCAAACUGCAUGACUUGAGUCCGGGAGAGGUGAGUGGAAUUCCCAGUGUAGCGGUGAAAUGCGUAGAUAUUGGGAGGAACACCAGUGGCGAAGGCGGCUCACUGGACCGGAACUGACGCUGAGGCGCGAAAGCGUGGGGAGCAAACGGG